rnacentral:lncRNA from 1 species
CUGAAAGUGACCAUAUUUGGAAAUAGGGUCUUGUCGCUAUAAGCAGUUAAGACGAGGUCAUAGUGGACUAGGCUGGGCCCUAAAUCCAAUGACUGCUGUCCUUAGAAGAGGAGAAGAAGAUACCAGGGAAGAAGGCCGCAAUGAUGGAGAUGGGUGGGACUGGAGUGAUGCAUCUACAAGCCAAGGACCUCUGGCCACCAUCAGAAGCUGGGAAGGAGGCACAGGACAGGUUCUCCCUCAGAGUCUCCAGAAGGAACCAACCUGCUCACGCCUUGAUUUCAGACUCUGGCCUCCAGAAUGCCCAGGGUUUCACUGGUUCCGAUCCUGGGCGCGGACGUGGCACCACUUGUCGGGCCAUGCUGGGGUGGCAUCCCAUGUGGCACAGCUGGAGGCACUCGAAACUGAAAUAUACAACUAUGUACUGGGGGCCUUUGGGGAGAAAAAGAAGAAGAAGAAACAAGAAAGAUUGGCAACAGAUGUUGGCUCAGGUGCCAAUGUUGAAAAAAGAAGUAGGUAUGUUUUAUUCUGGAGCCAGGUGUCUAUGCUGAGCAUGGAGAAGAAAACAUAUACGUGGCUAAAUAGACUAAAAGUCAUGGGGAAAGUUUCACAGUCUCCUGAGCUACAGAGACCUUGGUGUUGCUGGGAGAGGGGUGGGUAGAAGGCAGAUGCCACAGGUUCCAGGCCCUUCCCCUACCUCCCCCACCCUGAGCCAAACUCUGUUGAGCUAUUUGACCCACAGGACUUCAUCAUGGGGUUAUGUCUGAAAAAAGGACUCUGAUUCCAGCUUUGCCCCUCCCAGCCCUGCGAUGCUGGGCACAUCGAUUCACCUCUCUGAGCCUCAGCACCCCCAUUGUGAAAUGACGAUAUUAGCCCCUAUCUCGCAGGGUGGUCUGGAGCAGAGAACAGUGCUGACACCGAGCACUAGCAAAAGGAUUCUGCUGCUGCCUUGUAGAGGGGAAACUCUGUAUGGACUACAGACAGGAAAUGACUCCUCCAGGUUGCCAGGCUGGCUGGUAGAAAAGUCAAGACAAACCAACCUUUGACAUGUCAGAUGCACUCCCAUAACCCUGACCGAUGCUUCCUCUAUGCCAGACACUGUGCUAAGGCCUCACAGAUAUAACACACUGAAGCUCAUGACCAUCCUAGGAGAAUCCUGAGCCCUGGCUCUUUCCUGCAAACACCAAAGACUUGCACUGCAAAGACUCAGAUGGAAGCCAGCAGCUCCAAACUUAAUAAUAGCAGCUAACAUUUAGAACACUGCUUUGUACCAGGCUGGUGGAAAGUGCCUGAAAUGCUUUUUCUUGUUAAAUCAUCUCACUAAUCCUGCAGUUUCCCGAGGUUUCAGAGACGGUGAGCAACUUGCCCGAGGUCACGCAGGAGUAUAGGGUCAGAGCAGGACCCAGCAAUCUGGCUCUCGAGCCCAAGCAGAGGGUCCCUCUCCAGGGCCUGCACCCACCGUCGGUCCCACCGAGAAACAAGCCCGAGCGACGCCCAGCAAGCACCGUCUUGCCGUCUUGCCGAGGGCAGGCCGGCCCAGGGAAGGGGACUCCCGCGGGCCUGGCCUGGGGCGGGUGCGCCCCCUGGGGGAGCCAGCGGGGAGGGUCCGAACCCUGCCACCGCGGUGGGCCGGGAGGAGGGGGUGCUUGGAAGACCCUGAUGCCUCCUGCAGGUGCUCGGCUCUUCUUGAGGGACGGCAGUUCAGUGAAGUCCCCAAGUUAAACCCACGUUCAAACCCAGACUGUUUGAACAUGUGUGCCCUGUGAGGAUCUAGAAGGAAUGGGGAACAGGUGGGUGAGAAUUUCCAAACAAGGGCUCCCAGAGGAGCGUGCUUCACAGGCGACAGUCCCUGGUGCCGGUCAGUGGACAUCCUCUUCAGUCCUGGGCUGGUCAGAGGCAGGCAGGUGAGGUGAAAGCUGUUCGUGUCCAACUCAGAGAGUGUCAGAACGUGAGGGGAGUAGGACAAUCGCCUGUCACAGAGGAGGAAAUUUCCAGUUGAGAGGACCACUCAGUGGUCAAAAGGAUUCUGCUCUGGAUACAAAACUGGAAUUAAAAGAAAACUCUGAGAUUUCUUUGAUUGAAGUUUCUGUGUCGAGAAACUAUGAUUCUAUGAUGGGUGCUGGAAAAGAGCACCUUGUGAGUCCUCUCAUACCUGGGGUUAAUCAGAGGAUUACCGAAGCACAUUUGGAGGGAAUAUUGAGAAAGACUGGUG